rnacentral:rRNA from 1 species
GACGAACGCUGGCGGCGUGCCUAAUACAUGCAAGUAGAACGCUGAAGGAAGGAGCUUGCUCUUUCUGGAUGGGUUGCGAACGGGUGAGUAACGCGUAGGUAACCUGCCUGGUAGCGGGGGAUAACUAUUGGAAACGAUAACUAAUACCGCAUAAAAUUGAUUAUUGCAUGAUAGUCAAUUAAAAGGUGCAACUGCACCACUACCAGAUGGACCUGCGUUGUAUUAGCUAGUUGGUGGGGUAACGGCUCACCAAGGCGACGAUACAUAGCCGACCUGAGAGGGUGAUCGGCCACACUGGGACUGAGACCCGGCCCAGACUCCUACGGGAGGCAGCAGUAGGGAAUCUUCGGCAAUGGACGGAAGUCUGACCGAGCAACGCCGCGUGAGUGAAGAAGGGUUUCGGAUCGUAAAGCUCUGUUGUAAGAGAAGAACGAGUGUGAGAGUGGAAAGUUCACACUGUGACGGUAUCUUACCAGAAAGGGACGGCUAACUACGUG